UACGUAGGUGGCGAGCGUUGUCCGGAAUUACUGGGUGUAAAGGGCGUGUAGGCGGGAUUGUAAGUCAGAUGUGAAAUUCCAGAGCUUAACUCUGGCGCUGCAUCUGAAACUGCGAUUCUUGAGUGCUGGAGAGGAUAGUGGAAUUCCUAGUGUAGCGGUGAAAUGCGUAGAUAUUAGGAGGAACACCAGUGGCGAAGGCGGCUAUCUGGACAGUAACUGACGCUGAGGCGCGAAAGCGUGGGGAGCAAAC
rnacentral:rRNA from 1 species